rnacentral:tRNA from 1 species
GCCUGGGUGGCUCAGUUGAUUGGGCCUCUGACUUCAACUCAGGUCAUGGUCUCGAGGUCUGUGAGUUUGAGUCCCGCAUCAGGCU